rnacentral:rRNA from 1 species
UACGUAGGGUCCGAGCGUUGUCCGGAAUUAUUGGGCGUAAGGAGCUCGUAGGCGGUUUGUUGCGUCGGCUGUGAAAUCCCGAGGCUCAACCUCGGGUCUGCAGUCGAUACGAGCAAACUAGAGUGUUGCAGGGGAGACUGGAAUUCCUGGUGUAGCGGUGAAAUGCGCAGAUAUCAGGAAGAACACCCGUGGCUAAGGCGGUUCUCUAGUACGGUACUGACGCUGAGGAGCGAAAGCGUGGGGAGCGAACAGG